rnacentral:rRNA from 1 species
GGAAUAUUGGACAAUGGGCGAAAGCCUGAUCCAGCCAUGCCGCGUGAGUGAUGAAGGCCUUAGGGUUGUAAAGCUCUUUCGCUGGGGAAGAUAAUGACGGUACCCAGUAAAGAAGCCCCGGCUAACUUCGUGCCAGCAGCCGCGGUAAUACGAAGGGGGCUAGCGUUGUUCGGAAUUACUGGGCGUAAAGCGCACGUAGGCGGGUCGUUAAGUCAGGGGUGAAAUCCCGGAGCUCAACUCCGGAACUGCCUUUGAUACUGGCGACCUUGAGUUCGAGAGAGGUGAGUGGAAUUCCGAGUGUAGAGGUGAAAUUCGUAGAUAUUCGGAGGAACACCAGUGGCGAAGGCGGCUCACUGGCUCGAUACUGACGCUGAGGUGCGAAAGCGUGGGGAGCA